rnacentral:rRNA from 1 species
AGCGAACGCUGGCGGCAGGCCUAACACAUGCAAGUCGAACGAACCCUUCGGGGUUAGUGGCGGACGGGUGAGUAACACGUGGGAACGUGCCUUUAGGUUCGGAAUAACUCAGGGAAACUUGUGCUAAUACCGAAUGUGCCCUUCGGGGGAAAGAUUUAUCGCCUUUAGAGCGGCCCGCGUCUGAUUAGCUAGUUGGUGAGGUAAUGGCUCACCAAGGCUACGAUCAGUAGCUGGUCUGAGAGGAUGACCAGCCACAUUGGGACUGAGACACGGCCCAAACUCCUACGGGAGGCAGCAGGGGGGAAUCUUGCGCAAUGGGCGAAAGCCUGACGCAGCCAUGCCGCGCGGAUGAUGAAGGUCUUAGGAUUGUAAAAUCCUUUCACCGGUGAAGAUAAUGACUGUAGCCGGAGAAGAAGCCCCGGCUAACUUCGUGCCAGCCGCCGCAGUAAUAC